CAGAGAAUAGUUUAAAUAAUAAAUAUUAGUUUUGGGAAUUAAAGAUAAAAGUAUUUUUUUCUCUGA
rnacentral:tRNA from 1 species